rnacentral:rRNA from 1 species
UACGUAGGUGGCAAGCGUUGUCCGGAUUUACUGGGCGUAAAGGGCGUGCAGGCGGUCUGUUAAGUUCAGGGUGAAAGCUCCCGGCUCAACUGGGAGAGGUCCUUGGAUACUGGCAGACUUGAGGGAGGUAGAGGAGAGUGGAAUUCCCGGUGUAGUGGUGAUAUGCGUAGAUAUCGGGAGGAACACCAGUGGCGAAGGCGGCUCUCUGGGCCUUACCUGACGCUGAGGAGCGAAAGCGUGGGGAGUGAACAGG